AUGGCCAUUAUCAAGCUCUUCGGUAAAGCCACAUGUCUUAAGAUAAACCCAGCAAAAUCAUCCGUUGCCACGAUUAGUUGUGAGGUCUUAGACCUGCAGGGCGUGCUCCAUAGUUUCAAAGGUAGAACCGUAGGCUUCCCCAUGACUUAUCUAGGCAUGCCGAUCACCAUAUCUAGGUUGCGGCUGGUUCAUCUUCAGUUCAUCCUCGACCGUAUCCGCGCGCGCCUAGCAGGCUGGAAGGGUCGCCUACUGUCCACAACCGGCAAAAGAGUGCUGGUCCGGUGCGUGCUGACGGUUAUGCCAACGUAUGCGAUCACCGUCCUCCGGGCGCCAAUCAAGUUUUUCAAGGACGUGGACAAGGUCCGUUGGCGUUUCCUCUAG
rnacentral:rRNA from 1 species